AGGCCCUUGGCUGGUGUGAUGAUCCUGCUUUGCAAGCAGGAUGUCAGGAGUUCGAAUCUCCUAGGCUCCAC
rnacentral:tRNA from 1 species